CUACGGGAGGCAGCAGUGAGGAAUAUUGCACAAUGGGGGGAACCCUGAUGCAGCAACGCCGCGUGGAGGAUGACGCAUUUCGGUGUGUAAACUCCUUUUAUAUGUCAAGAAAAUGACGGUAGCAUAUGAAUAAGCACCGGCUAACUCCGUGCCAGCAGCCGCGGUAAUACGGAGGGUGCAAGCGUUACUCGGAAUCACUGGACGUAAAGGACGCGUAGGCGGGUUGGAAAGUCAGGUGUGAAAUCCUACAGCUUAACUGUAGAACUGCACUUGAAACUUCUAAUCUAGAGUAUGGGAGGGGGAGAGGGAAUUAGGGGUGUAGGGGUAAAAUCCGUAGAUAUCACUAGGAAUACCUAAAGCGAAGGCGAUCUCCUGGAACAUUACUGACGCUAAGGCGUGAAAGCGUGGGGAGCAAACAGGAUUAGAUACCCCAGUAGUC
rnacentral:rRNA from 1 species